CCUACGGGCGGCAGCAGUGAGGAAUAUUGGUCAAUGGACGAGAGUCUGAACCAGCCAAGUAGCGUGAAGGAUGACUGCCCUAUGGGUUGUAAACUUCUUUUAUAUGGGAAUAAAAUGUUCCACGUGUGGGAUUUUGUAUGUACCAUAUGAAUAAGGAUCGGCUAACUCCGUGCCAGCAGCCGCGGUAAUACGGAGGAUCCGAGCGUUAUCCGGAUUUAUUGGGUUUAAAGGGAGCGUAGGUGGAUUGUUAAGUCAGUUGUGAAAGUUUGCGGCUCAACCGUAAAAUUGCAGUUGAAACUGGCAGUCUUGAGUACAGUAGAGGUGGGCGGAAUUCGUGGUGUAGCGGUGAAAUGCUUAGUUAUCACGAAGAACUCCGAUUGCGAAGGCAGUUCACUGGACUGCAACUGACACUGAGGCUCGAAAGUGUGGGUAUCAAACAGGAUUAGAUACCCUUGUAGUC
rnacentral:rRNA from 1 species